GGAGUUAGCCGGUGCUUCUUCUGUGAGUGAUGUCCUUCCUGCCGGCUAUUAACCCGCAGGCCUUCUUCCUCACUGAAAGUGCUUUACAACCCGAAGGCCUUCUUCACACACGCGGCAUGGCUGGAUCAGGGUUGCCCCCAUUGUCCAAUAUUCCCCACUGCUGCCUCCCGUAGGAGUCUGGGCCGUGUCUCAGUCCCAGUGUGGCUGAUCAUCCUCUCAGACCAGCUACGGAUCGUCGCCUUGGUGAGCCGUUACCUCACCAACCAGCUAAUCCGACAUAGGCUCAUCCGAUAGCGCGAGGCCCGAAGGUCCCCCGCUUUCCCCCGUAGGGCGUAUGCGGUAUUAGCCUGGGUUUCCCCAGGUUAUCCCCCACUACCGGGCAGAUUCCUAUGCAUUACUCACCCGUCCGCCGCUCGCCACCAGGGAGCAAGCUCCCCGUGCUGCCGCUCGACUUGCAUGUGUAGCUCGCCGCCACGCGUCAUCUGAACCAAGAUACAACUUACUGA
rnacentral:rRNA from 1 species